AAAAGAAUCAAGAAAAGAAAUAGAUAAUGUUUAGUGAAAGGAUAAAAGGAAACUAGAGAAACAGAACUGAUGAGAUUAUCUGUCUAUUCAUUGAUUCCUUCAUGGCUUCUCGUCUGAUCACCACCCAUCGAAGCUUCUGCUACAAAGUUGAGUUAAACUCUUGUAGACUAUCAUUUCCAUCAUCAAACCCGCAUGUGAACUUUUGCAUUCCAGCUUUUGUUUCAUGUAGAGGUCCCUUUACUUGUUUGAAGCUUAACCACUGCCUCAAGCUUAGAGCAUCUUCUGAGGGGCUUCCGUCUGAGUUAGUAGAUGAAGACUCCAAAUUUGUUCCUCUAAAUGCUGAAGAUCCAAGAUAUGGUCCACCUGCAUUAUUGUUGCUGGGGUUUGAUUUAGAGGAGGCAGUGAAGAUACAGCAACUUCUUAAGGAGUUAGAUGGUGAUUUCCUAGAGGUAUCUCCAUUGGUAGCUAGCUUCUCUCAACACUUCUCUUUCUUCUUUUUCCACAUGCAAGUUAAGGAGAUGAAGAGGUAUUCAAAGUGGCUUUUGGUUGGUGGAAAGCUUUUGCAAACAGUCAUUUUUUGUACUGAAGACAUGAUUACUUGCUGUCUGUGGGAGGCAAUGAAUACUAAGCAACCUAAUUUGGAUGCUGCAAAGAUCAAAAGAAUGAUUGUGGCUGAUGUUAAGUGAAGGAUGUUUUUGAGUGCAAUUCUAUCCUCUAAUUUGGCAACUGAAGAAUCGUACUCUUAGAUGCUGCAUACUAGCUGGUCUUACAAUCAUGUAACAGAGAGUACAUUAAUAUUGCAUAUUGUCCGGCGUCAUAAGCAUUUUGGUAUACCCUGCAGAUUGCAAAGUCACUUCCCCGAAUUUGCUUCUUGUCUGGUCUCACAGGAGAGGAGAUGAUGAUGUUUAUUGAUGCCUUUCCAGAAAGUGGACUAGAACCGCCAGUUUUUGCUGCUCUUGUCCCGAACAGUGCUGAUAAACCGAUACAAGAGUUGAUUGAAGAGAUCAUGGGGGACCAUGAGAUGAUUGCAUCCAGAAAAUCGACUUAGAUAUGGAUAUUUGUUGGUGGAUUCUCCGAAGUUUAAACAUUAGUCGUACGGUAUGGCCCCUGCAAGCUGAAUGAAACUCACGAGCUUGUACCGGGAGAAGAGCAAUAUAUAGAUGACUAUACAUGAAUUCUAAAAUUUUAUAGAGCACUGACAUCUGUUAUCUCCAGCUUAACCGAUUUCACGUUAUAUACAGCACUGGCGGUCUACGACAUUGAGCAUGACUACUGCCGGUUAAAAUCCACUGAAAAGCCUAUCCUGACUGAAACGUGUACUUCAAAUGGUUGCCUUGAAAGUUUAAGUCAAAUCGUCUUGCAGGAAUUGAGAGAACUAAUCAGGCAACAUAUGCACUUUACCCAAAACUCUGCGUUGUUGAGAUCAUUUUUGUUGUGAGACGAUGAAAAUACAGAUGGCAUUAGCAAAUUAGUCUAGAAGAAUCGUGAUGCA